CCUGCAUUUCAGGAUUGUCCUUAGAAGCGGAAGUAUCCAGAUUUUUUUUUCGAGAGUCUUUAAAACCGUCGUGAUUUACCUGUGCUGAAACAAUGAAAUUUUCACAAGUUUUCAUUUUGCUUUGCGCGUUGUUUGCAAUGUCGUUCGCUGUGCCGUUGGCUAGCAAUGAUGGCAAAGAGGUUCAAGACAAGAGGUUCGUCGGAGCUUGGCUGAUAAAAAAAGCAUUGUCGAAAGGAAUAUCCGUAUUAUUGUCACAAGUGUGUAAACUUAACUCAUUGUCUUCCAAUGUGCAAAGCAUAUGCGGGUGUGCCACGGCAGUUGGUGGGUUUGUCGGUGAUGAAGGUGAAUAUAUAUAAAUAUAUAUAU